CCUACGGGAGGCAGCAGUGGAGAAUCUUGCCCAAUGGACGCAAGUCUGAGGCAGCCACGCCGCGUGCGGGAAGAAGGCUUUCGGGUCGUAAACCGCUUUCAGCAGGGAAGAAGCGAAAGUGACGGUACCUGCAGAAGAAGGACCGGCCAACUACGUGCCAGCAGCCGCGGUAAU
rnacentral:rRNA from 1 species